rnacentral:rRNA from 1 species
UAGCGUAUAUUAAAGUUGUUGCAGUUAAAAAGCUCGUAGUUGGACUUCUGGUGGGAGCGACCGGUCCCGCGCUCUGCGUGGGUACUUGAGUCGUCUCCGGCCAUCCUUGGGGAGAGCCAGUCUGGCAUUAAGUUGUCGGGCUGGGGAUGCCCAUCGUUUACUGUGAAAAAAUUAGAGUGUUCAAAGCAGGCUUAUGCCGCUGAAUAUAUUAGCAUGGAAUAAUAAGAUAGGACCUUGGUACUAUUUUGUUGGUUUGUGCACCGAGGUAAUGAUUAAUAGGGACAGUUGGGGGUAUUCGUAUUCCAUUGUCAGAGGUGAAAUUCUUGGAUUUCUGGAAGACGAACUACUGCGAAAGCAUUUACCAAGGAUGUUUUCAUUAAUCAAGAACGAAAGUUAGGGGAUCGAAGAUGAUUAGAU